AGAGUUUGAUCCUGGCUCAGGAUGAACGCUAGCGGCAGGCUUCAUACAUGCAAGUCGAGGGGCAGCAUAAAUUACUUGUAAUUUGAUGGCGACCGGCGAACGGGUGCGUAACGCGUAUGCAACUUACCUUUUACUAGAGAAUAGCCAAGAGAAAUUUUGAUUAAUGCUCUAUACACUUUAAGACUCUCAUGAGUCUAAAAGAAAAGCUCCGGCGGUAAAAGAUGGGCAUGCGUUCUAUUAGCUUGUAGGUGAGGUAACGGCUCACCUAAGCUCCGAUAGAUAGGGGUCCUGAGAGGGAGACCCCCCACACUGGUACUGAGACACGGACCAGACUUCUACGGAAGGCAGCAGUAAGGAAUAUUGGACAAUGGAGGCAACUCUGAUCCAGCCAUGCCGCGUGAAGGAAGAAGGCCCUAUGGGUCGUAAACUUCUUUUAUACAGGAAGAAAUCUUUCCACGUGUGGAAAGUUGACGGUACUGUAAGAAUAAGGAUCGGCUAACUCCGUGCCAGCAGCCGCGGUAAUACGGAGGAUCCAAGCGUUAUCCGGAAUUAUUGGGUUUAAAGGGUCCGCAGGCUGUUUGUUAAGUUAGAGGUGAAAUCCUACCGCUCAACGGUAGAACUGCCUUUAAUACUGGCAAACUUGAGUUAUUGUGAAGUAAUUAGAAUGUGUAGUGUAGCGGUGAAAUGCAUAGAUAUUACACAGAAUACCGAUUGCGAAAGCAGAUUACUAACAAUUAACUGACGCUGAGGGACGAAAGCGUGGGUAGCGAACAGGAUUAGAUACCCUGGUAGUCCACGCCGUAAACG
rnacentral:rRNA from 1 species